rnacentral:rRNA from 1 species
AGAGUUUGAUCCUGGCUCAGGAUGAACGCUAGCUACAGGCUUAACACAUGCAAGUCGAGGGGAAACGAUAUUGGAAGCUUGCUUCCGAUAGGCGUCGACCGGCGCACGGGUGAGUAACGCGUAUCCAACCUGCCCACCACUUGGGGAUAACCUUGCGAAAGUAAGACUAAUACCCAAUGAUAUCUCUAGAAGACAUCUGAAAGAGAUUAAAGAUUUAUCGGUAAUGGAUGGGGAUGCGUCUGAUUAGCUUGUUGGCGGGUAACGGCCACAAGGCGACGAUCAGUAGGGUUCUGAGAGGAACGGUCCCCANAUUGGAACUGAGACACGGUCCAAACUCCUACGGGAGCA